AAAAGUGUGGCUCAGUGGUUUAAAGCACGUGGCUGGAGAUCUCGACAUCGUGGGUUCGGGCCCAGGCAUUUUUU
rnacentral:tRNA from 1 species